UACGGAGGGUGCAAGCGUUAUCCGGAAUCAUUGGGUUUAAAGGGUCCGCAGGCGGAUUUAUAAGUCAGUGGUGAAAGCCUACAGCUCAACUGUAGAACUGCCAUUGAUACUGUAAGUCUUGAAUUCGGUCGGAGUGGGCGGAAUAUGACAUGUGGCGGUGAAAUGCAUAGAUAUGUCAUAGAACACCGAUAGCGAAGGCAGCUCACUAGGCCUGAAUUGACGCUCAUGGACGAAAGCGUGGGGAGCAAACAGGAUUAGAUACCCUGGUAGUCCACGCCGUAAACUAUCAAUACUCGUUUUCGGCGAUAUACAGUCGGAGACUAAGCGAAAGUGAUAAGUAUUGCACCUGGGGAGUACGAUCGCAAGGUUGAA
rnacentral:rRNA from 1 species